GCUAUGCAACAUCGUAUUCUAAAGACAGUUGGUGGCAUAUGCCGUAAAUCCAACCGAGGAAUGUGCAAUGAUUUUUCUGUGAUACACAGCGCACGAUUCCUAGCGGAUCGUGUUUUUUUAUUGCGAUU
rfam:Ruminococcus sp. CAG:330, WGS project CBIH01000000 data, contig: 13